GCGGACAUAGUUUAAUGGUAAAACAUGUGCUUGCCAAGCACAAGUUACGGGUUCAAUUCCUGUUGUCUGCUCCA
rnacentral:tRNA from 1 species